UGAUUGACUUUAGAUAGUUUGUCUUGGU
rnacentral:sRNA from 1 species